AGUUUGUACGUGCUUAAUCAUGAGUGCUUGAUAAAUGUUAUUUUACUCAAGUGGACUUUUGAUAAUUUUUUUUCUUUAAAGUUUCAAGUGAUAUUUUUGUGGUUGACCAAUUGUUGUUAUAUUUAUGUUUAAAUACCAGGAUAAAGCAAUUAAAAUUUACAAAAUGU
rnacentral:misc_RNA from 1 species